UACGAAGGGGGCUAGCGUUGCUCGGAAUCACUGGGCGUAAAGGGUGCGUAGGCGGGGCUUUAAGUCAGGGGUGAAAUCCUGGAGCUCAACUCCAGAACUGCCUUCGAUACUGGCGAUCUAGAGUCCGGAAGAGGUGAGUGGAACUCCUAGUGUAGAGGUGGAAUUCGUAGAUAUUAGGAAGAACACCAGUGGCGAAGGCGGCUCACUGGUCCGGUACUGACGCUGAGGUGCGAAAGCGUGGGGAGCAAACAGG
rnacentral:rRNA from 1 species